UCUCAUCCCAGCAGAUGCGCUUCCCGAGACUCCUGAGCCAGAAUCCUCCGUCCCACAUCUUCUAGAGCCUCAGCAGAAACGGCUGGCCCCUGCAGCCCUUGGCCCACAGGGCACUGAGAGGCAACAGGGACCCCCAGCACCUCGAGAGGCUCUGCCGAGGCCCCAACUACCGCCUGCAUGUGGAUGGUGCCCCUCAUGGUCGCUGAGACUCCCCAUCGAGGAUAGCGCACGCCCAUCCUAAGCCUCCCCACGAGGGGAGGGGAGUCACCCCCAAAACAAAGGUAUUAAAGGGACAGAAUACUUCCAGCUUCUCCGUGGUCUGAUUCUAGGCGCAGUGGGAAACAUUUGAGUAUUAAAGAACAGCCGUCCUUUUUC